UCUUCCGACGAUUACCGGCUUGUCCAUGAGCGUUCCCGUGGUGAUGUCGUCUUCAGUGCCUUCUGGGGUAAGCUGUUUGACGAAUGCGGCGUAAUCGUCAACCGGAAUAAAGAGCACUGCGGACGGUCCCUGCGCGGUUGGCAGCAUGGCAGCGGCGAUCGAACCGGUGGUGUCGAUACCUACCACGAUACCGGU
rnacentral:rRNA from 1 species